rnacentral:lncRNA from 1 species
AGAGGAGAAGAAGAGAAGGAGAAGAAGAGAGAAAAAAGAGGGACGAGGGAGAGGAGCGAGAGGUGCCAGCAGCUAGGGCUGCAACACCUCUGUUUCCUGCAGGUGGAAACAGAGGAGAGGUGUGGGACGUUCGAAGAGGAGAAGAAGAAGAAGAGGAAGAGAAGAAGAAGAGGAAGCAGGAGAAGAGGUUGUGAUACCUUUGUUUCCUGCAGUGGAAACAGAGGAGAGGGUGUGUGUGACGCCGGGGAAGAAGGGGUUGCAGCUGCGGCGAUGGCAGCUGCAGCUGGAAGAGAAGAAGAAGAGGAAGAUGAGCAGGGGAGGAAGAAGAGGUUGCGGCCGUGGCUGCGGCCGCGACUGCAGCAGUUGCAGCGGGGAGAGAAGAAGAAGAAAGGAAGGAGAAGGAAGAGGAGAAGGGAAAGAAGUGGCUGUGGCAACUGCGUUUGGGAAAGAAAACGAAGGAAUGAGAGUAAGAGAGAGUGACUAUGCCUCUAUGUUCUGCAUGAGCUACAGUUGUGAAGGAAAAGUAGAAGGAUUUGGGCUGACACCUUCUUUGGAUCUUCGGAUCAAAAUCUUUGAAAGGCAAGUGUUCUGAUCCUUUCUAUUGCAAGCUUUCAAAUCUUUUCUCUUGCAAGUGUUCCCAUCCUUCCUAUUGCAAGCUUUUUAAUCUUUCCUAUUGCAAGUGUCCUGAUCUUUCCUUACCGCAAUUUUACCGCUACAUUUGUUUUGAAUAUGAGGAACUUUGAAUUGUUCUAGCCUUUCAUUUGAUAUAUCUCCUGUUUAGACGUAACGAUUCGAAUCUAUGCAACUUCUGAUAUUCUGACCCUUCUACUUUGUUAUGGCUAUAACUUCAUGUAUUGACCUCUGAUUUGGACAAAACUUAUUUGAUCAGAAUAUAGACUCAUAAACCUUUCUUUUGAUAGCUUAUUUUAAGAAUUCAGAGUAAGUUUGCCUGCCCAAACUUCUGUUUCAAAUGAUCCUACAGAUUCUGCAAAACAGGGAUCGUAAUUUCUAACCUUUUGAUACUGAACUGCUUAUAAGUCCCUAUUGCAAACGUUGAUUUAUUCAAAGCUUAUUUCAUUGGAAACCAGACUCAUAGAUCUUUCUUUUGAUAUAUGGAUUGAAA